rnacentral:rRNA from 1 species
AUUGAACGCUGGCGGCAUGCCUUACACAUGCAAGUCGAACGGCAGCAUGAUCUAGCUUGCUAGAUUGAUGGCGAGUGGCGAACGGGUGAGUAAUACAUCGGAACGUGCCCUGUAGUGGGGGAUAACUAGUCGAAAGAUUAGCUAAUACCGCAUACGACCUGAGGGUGAAAGUGGGGGACCGCAAGGCCUCAUGCUAUAGGAGCGGCCGAUGUCUGAUUAGCUAGUUGGCGAGGUAAAGGCUCACCAAGGCGACGAUCAGUAGCUGGUCCGAGAGGACGAGUCGCCCCACUGGGACUGAGACCCCGCCCAGACUCCUACGGGAGGCAGCAGUGGGGAAUUUUGGACAAUGGGCGAAAGCCUGAUCCAGCAAUGCCGCGUGUGUGAAGAAGGCCUUCGGGUUGUAAAGCACUUUUGUCCGGAAAGAAAUGGCUCUGGUUAAUACCUGGGGUCGAUGACGGUACCGGAAGAAUAAGGACCGGCUAACUACGUG